GACGAACGCUGGCGGCGUGCUUAACACAUGCAAGUCGAACGGAAAGGCCCUGCUUUUGUGGGGUGCUCGAGUGGCGAACGGGUGAGUAACACGUGAGUAACCUGCCCUUGACUUUGGGAUAACUUCAGGAAACUGGGGCUAAUACCGGAUAGGAGCUCCUGCUGCAUGGUGGGGGUUGGAAAGUUUCGGCGGUUGGGGAUGGACUCGCGGCCUAUCAGCUUGUUGGUGGGGUAGUGGCUUACCAAGGCUUUGACGGGUAGCCGGCCUGAGAGGGUGACCGGCCACAUUGGGACUGAGAUACGGCCCAGACUCCUACGGGAGGCAGCAGUGGGGAAUAUUGCACAAUGGGCGGAAGCCUGAUGCAGCAACGCCGCGUGCGGGAUGACGGCCUUCGGGUUGUAAACCGCUUUCGCCUGUGACGAAGCGUGGGUGACGGUAAUGGGUAAAGAAGCACCGGCUAACUACGUG
rnacentral:rRNA from 1 species